UACGAAGGGGGCUAGCGUUGUUCGGAUUUACUGGGCGUAAAGCGCACGUAGGCGGGUCGUUAAGUCAGGGGUGAAAUCCCGGAGCUCAACUCCGGAACUGCCUUUGAUACUGGCGACCUUGAGGCUGGAAGAGGUUAGUGGAAUUCCCAGUGUAGAGGUGAAAUUCGUAGAUAUUGGGAAGAACACCAGUGGCGAAGGCGGCUAACUGGUCCAGAUCUGACGCUGAGGUGCGAAAGCGUGGGGAGCAAACAAG
rnacentral:rRNA from 1 species